CCAUUAACAUAGCGUAACCUACCCAACUUGUGCCCAGUGUGAAAUAUUUUCAAUUUAUUUAUUUGUUAAUUUACAAAACAAAUAGAUUUAAAGAAAAAAAAUUGUCUCUUUCGAUGAAUACGUUUUGCAGAUUGAGGACGAUUCGAUUAAUCCAAGGUUUAGGCCUCCGUCAUCAAAGCAAAGGAAAUGAAGGAGAAAAAUCCAAUUAUUUCCAGAACGAAAAGGCGACAUCAAACUCGUUUCUCGAGACUUUUGCCAGGACUGGUGCCAGGAAAUUCCCAGAUCUUCACAAGAUGAACCCGAUGAGAUUGAGCUUGAAAAGUUUCUGGGAAUGGGAAAAACGGAAAAGAAAGGAAUUUGAGAUUUACAACCAGAAGUUCAUCCCGAAACGGCAUGACACACUCGGCAACGAUCUUGCAGCGGCUCACUUCAUAGUUUAUAGAAGAGGAGGGGUCAAAUUUGUUGGAAUGCCGAAUUGGAUCCGCAUGAGUUCAAAAGAUGAUACCUGUGAUGCGUUACCAAACCAAUUUCAGAAAGGUUUUCUAUUGGAAGCAGUUGAUUUGUCCAAUACAAAAAUCUGUUAUGAAGGUUUAGAAAAUAUGAUCGAUUUGUGCCACUUAAAAUUUCUUAGCCUCAGAAACUGCCCUCAAGUUGAUGACUGGUUUGUAGACAGGGUCACAAGACUAUUUCAUCAUACCUUGGAGCAUUUAGAUCUAUCGGGCUGUUCUCAAAUUUCAGAAAGAUGUUUUUCAUGUUUUUAUAGGUGUAGAAAACUUAAAACUUUAACUUUAGAAGAUAUUGUUACUAACAAUUUUUUUGAAUUGAGUUGCCUUUUACUAGAAGAAAAUAUGCCCGGUUUAACUGUUUCUGGGGUCCAGUAUAUAAAAAGUACUUAAGUUUAUUAUCUUUUUCCUUUUACAUUGUAAAUAAAUAUAUUACUGUAAUAUGGCAAAGUUUUUAUCUUACUAUUAACAAUGAAUUAAAGGUGAUGAACUAUACUUUAUAUAUAAAAUCCUGACCAUUAUUUCCUCACGAUGAUAGAACUUUUCUAAUGGUUAUUUGUAAAAUAAUCAUUUAUAAUAGCAGAUUUUUCUUGUGAUUUUUAUAUUUACUUCUUAGGAGUACUUUGACCUUUAUAUCCCAGAAGUAUUUACCUAGCUGUUUAACAUUGCCUAAGUAGAAUCCUGUGCGUAUUUAAUUAAUUGUUAUUAAUUGGAAAAUAACUGUAAGUCACAAGAAAUCAGGAUUAUGGAUAACUGGUGGAAUAAAAGGUUCAGCCUUCUUUACCAAACCCAAUUGUAUGCAGAUAUAACUUUGGUGAUUCAUAGUAAAAAUGGACGAUGUGAGAAGAAAAUUUUGGCGCAUAAAAUAGUUUUAUUUGCUGCUAGUCAAAUAUUACAAGAAAAGAUAAGAAAAAGCUUAAACGAUGUACUGGAACUUGAAGAGGACCCAAACAUAUUUCAGUGUUAUUUAGAUAUUGUGUGAAACAUUGUGUUGAGAUCUAUGAGAGGAAGAAAAUGUAACUUUAUCAUUCUACAGUAAGAAGAACAUAAAAACAAGAAAGAUAGGCAGGUCAAAGAUGAUCACAUAAAAUAUAUUCUAAUCCUGAAACAGUUUGCUUCCUUAGAACUUUUUUUUUAAUUUGCGAGAUUUCAUUGAGCUCUACUGCAUAUUGACUUGUGCAAAAAUACCAAUUGAUUUAUUGCGGAAUUUACAAAUUCAACAGUAUAAAUGAAGCCAUUGAUUUAUUUAAAUGUGGAACGCGCUAUAGGAGUAGCGAUGUGACUAAAUAUUGUUUAAAUUAUUUAAAAGAGCAUUUAGCUGCUUCAUGUAUUCCUGAUUGUUUUGAACUUAGCCUACAAUUCAACCUGGUCGAUUUGCAAGAAGUUUGCUUAAGGGUUAUCAAGGAAAACGCUGAGAUUGUUUUACAUUUGUUAAAUUCAAAUAGUAUGAAUAUGAAAAUGCUAAACAUAUUAUUAGAUUUAAAAGAGCUUAGUAUUAGUGAAUACGAUUUCUUUAAAAUUACAUCGAAUUGGAUAAAAACAUAUAUUAGGAAAAUAGAUGAGACAAGGAGGCAUGAAGUGUACAAACAAAUUUUACCAAAGUUUUGCUUUUUUGGUAUGACAAGAGAGGAAUUUGUUAAUGGUCCAAUUAAAUCUGGUCUUCUGGAAAAACACCAAAGCUUGUCUAUAUUGUGCAAUUUGAUUUUAAGACAGGAAUCCCUCUUGCCUAUGCCUGACGGUUUUUCUACAACAAGAAGAAAACUCUUGAGGCGAAAUCCCUUUAUCCUACACGAAGCAAAAUUGAAAGAUCUCCACCUCAGUUCAGAAAGUUUAGCAAACAAAGUUUUAUUUGAAGUCGAUAAAACAAUUGAGAUCACUUCUUUUUCUGUUUUUACAAGAAAUGACAGCUCAGGAACCUACAUGGGCUGGGUUAAGGUACUUCUUGGAGUUCAAGGGCUCAUGA